AUUGAACGCUGGCGGCGUGCCUAACACAUGCAAGUCGAGCGGUAACAGGUGUAGCAAUACAUGCUGACGAGCGGCGAACGGGUGAGUAAUGCUUCGGAAUCUGCCCAUGUAGUGGGGAAUAACCAGCCGAAAGGUUGGCUAAUACCGCAUACGACCUACGGGUGAAAGCAGGGGAUCGCAAGACCUUGCGCUAUUGGAUGAGCCGAAGUCGGAUUAGCAGUUGGUAGGGUAACGGCCUACCAAGGCGACGAUCCGUAGCUGGUCUGAGAGGACGACCAGCCACACUGGGACUGAGACACGGCCCAGACUCCUACGGGAGGCAGCAGUGGGGAAUAUUGGACAAUGGGGCAACCCUGAUCCAGCGACGCCGCGUGUGUGAAGAAGGCCUGCGGGUU
rnacentral:rRNA from 1 species